rnacentral:misc_RNA from 1 species
CCGAGUUAUUCAACUCCCAAACCCCCUGUGAACCUUACCACACACGUUGCCUCGGCGGGACCGCCCCGGCGCCCUCGCGGCCCGGACCAAGGCGCCCGCCGGAGGACCACCAGACUCUCCUGUCGCAGUGGCAUUUCUCUCCGAGUCAAGCAAGCAAAAUGAAUCA